GUGCUCACUUUGGCAGCACAUAUGCUAAAAAUGGGACAAUACAGAGAUUAGCAUGGCCCCUAUGCAAGGACAACAAGCAAAUUUUUAAAGCAUUCCAUAUUUUU